rnacentral:rRNA from 7 species
AAAAGAAACCAACAGGGAUUGCCCCAGUAACGGCGAGUGAAGCGGCAAGAGCUCAAAUUUGAAAGCUGGCUCCUUCGGGGUCCGCAUUGUAAUUUGCAGAGGAUGCUUCGGGAGCGGUCCCCAUCUAAGUGCCCUGGAACGGGACGUCAUAGAGGGUGAGAAUCCCGUAUGGGAUGGGGUGUCCGCGCCCGUGUGAAGCUCCUUCGACGAGUCGAGUUGUUUGGGAAUGCAGCUCUAAAUGGGUGGUAAAUUUCAUCUAAAGCUAAAUAUUGGCCGGAGACCGAUAGCGCACAAGUAGAGUGAUCGAAAGAUGAAAAGCACUUUGAAAAGAGAGUUAAAAAGCACGUGAAAUUGUUGAAAGGGAAGCGCUUGCGACCAGACUCGCUCGCGGGGUUCAGCCGGCAUUCGUGCCGGUGUACUUCCCCGCGGGCGGGCCAGCGUCGGUUUGGGCGGUCGGUCAAAGGCCCUCGGAAGGUAACGCCCCUAGGGGCGUCUUAUAGCCGAGGGUGCAAUGCGACCUGCCUAGACCGAGGAACGCGCUUCGGCUCGGACGCUGGCAUAAUGGUCGUAAGCGACCCGUCUUGAAACACGGACCAAGGAGUCUAACAUCUACGCGAGUGUUCGGGUGUCAAACCCGUGCGCGAAGUGAAAGCGAACGGAGGUGGGAACCCUUACGGGUGCACCAUCGACCGAUCCUGAAGUCUUCGGAUGGAUUUGAGUAAGAGCGUAGCUGUUGGGACCCGAAAGAUGGUGAACUAUGCCUGAAUAGGGCGAAGCCAGAGGAAACUCUGGUGGAGGCUCGUAGCGGUUCUGACGUGCAAAUCGAUCGUCGAAU